rnacentral:rRNA from 1 species
GACGGAGGAUGCAAGCGUUAUCCGGAAUGAUUGGGCGUAAAGCGUCCGCAGGUGGCAGUUCAAGUCUGCUGUCAAAGACCGGGGCUUAACUUCGGAAAGGCAGUGGAAACUGAACAGCUAGAGUAUGGUAGGGGCAGAGGGAAUUCCAGGUGUAGCGGUGAAAUGCGUAGAUAAUCUGGAGGAAUACCGGUGGCGAAGGCGGCAUCCUGGACCGAGAUUGACACUGAUGAGCGAAAGCUAGGGGAGCAAACGGGAGUUAGAG